AUUGAACGCUGGCGGCAGGCCUAACACAUGCAAGUCGAGCGGAUGAAGGGAGCUUGCUCCUGGAUUCAGCGGCGGACGGGUGAGUAAUGCCUAGGAAUCUGCCUGGUAGUGGGGGAUAACGUCCGGAAACGGGCGCUAAUACCGCAUACGUCCUGAGGGAGAAAGUGGGGGAUCUUCGGACCUCACGCUAUCAGAUGAGCCUAGGUCGGAUUAGCUAGUUGGUGGGGUAAAGGCCUACCAAGGCGACGAUCCGUAACUGGUCUGAGAGGAUGAUCAGUCACACUGGAACUGAGACACGGUCCAGACUGCUACGGGAGGCAGCAGUGGGGAAUAUUGGACAAUGGGCGAAAGCCUGAUCCAGCAAUGCCGCGUGUGUGAAGAAGGUCUUCGGAUUGUAAAGCACUUUAAGUUGGAAGGAAGGGCAGUAAGUUAAUACCUUGCUGUUUUGACGUUACCAACAGAAUAAGCACCGGCUAACUUCGUG
rnacentral:rRNA from 1 species